rnacentral:rRNA from 1 species
GACGAACGCUGGCGGCGUGCUUAACACAUGCAAGUCGAACGGAAAGGCCCUGCUGGCCGGGUACUCGAGUGGCGAACGGGUGAGUAACACGUGGGUGAUCUGCCCUGCACUUCGGGAUAAGCCUGGGAAACUGGGUCUAAUACCGGAGAGGAGCCAUGGUUAGUGUGAUGGUUGGAAAGUUUUUUCGGUGUAGGAUGAGCUCGCGGCCUAUCAGCUUGUUGGGGGGGUAAUGGCCUACCAAGGCGGCGACGGGUAGCCGGCCUGAGAGGGUGGACGGCCACAUUGGGACUGGGAUACGGCCCAGACUCCUCCGGGCGGCAGCAGUGGGGAAUAUUGCACACUGGGCGCCAGCCGGAUGCAGCGACGCCGCGUGGGGGAUGACGGCCUUCGGGUUGUAAACUCCUUUCGCUAGGGACGAAGCUUUUUGUGACGGUACCUAGAGAAGAAGCACCGGCUAACUACGUG